AGAAGACUUUGUUGGCCCGAACAGUCCCUUUCACCUGUCGGCUGCAUUGGAUUAUACAUCUCUUUCUCUCUUAUUUUUCCCACUGAGGUCAUCAGAAUUUACUCAAGUUUGAGUCCAGCAGUUUACCAGGUUCUUGUUUAUCCUUUAUUAGAUUUUUCUUUCUCGAAAGCCAUCAGCUGCAGAGCCUGAUCUACUUUGGCUGCAGCCUUCCCAAGUUGGUGUCUUUUAUCACAUCUCAGCCAAAUUCUCAUCCGGUUUUUAUUUGUCAAGUUCCUACCCUUCACUUCACCCCCCCUCCUCCUUUUUUUCUUUAUGUCGUACCUGAAUUUCUAAAUUCUGAUCCAGAAUCAGAAAGCUGCUUUCUUCCUCUUAAAAUUUUCUUAUCUGGGUAUUUCGUCUCUUUUCUAAUUUUAGUCCGGGAUUCUAUCUUACAGAAGUUGGAACCAAUUUUCCGUGCUUUUUUGAAAAUUUAGUAUCAUAUUCCUGUUUCCUGAUCUGGGUAUCAUCUGAAUCUGCUUCUGUAUAACUGGGAAAUUGGGCUAUAACUAGAAAUGGGCCUUUGUUUGACCAAAGAUAAAAAUACUCAGCCACGGCUCUACAAUGAUACUGCUGGGAUGGUGAAUCAUCAGAAACCCCAAGAACCAAUUGUCUAUCAAUCUAAAUCCCCAGUCCAGCCAGCCUAUCAACUACCCUCCCAGCAACCUGCACAAAUCCCAAGAAAGCCUGCUGUUCCAGCGCCAAGCCCAAAACCAGUCCAUAGACCAGAAACAAUUCUUGAAAAACCAUAUGAGGAUGUCAAGUUGUAUUAUACAAUUGGGAAAGAACUGGGUAGGGGUCAAUUUGGUGUAACUUACCUUUGUACUGAGAUUUCAACUGGUAAGCAAUAUGCUUGCAAGUCAAUAUCCAAGAGGAAACUUGUUACCAAGAAUGAUAAGGACGAUAUGAAGAGGGAGAUUCAAAUAAUGCAGCAUUUGAGUGGACAACCUAAUAUUGUUGAGUUUAAAGGUGCUUAUGAGGAUAAGCAAUCUGUGCAUCUUGUGAUGGAGUUGUGUGCAGGAGGCGAGUUGUUUGAUAGGAUUAUUGCGAAGGGGCACUAUAGUGAGAAGGAAGCCGCUGCUAUAUGCAGGGCAAUUGUCAAUGUUGUGCAUGCCUGUCAUUUUAUGGGUGUGAUGCAUAGAGAUCUUAAGCCUGAAAAUUUCUUGCUCUCUAGCAAGAAUCACGCUGCCCUUUUAAAAGCAACUGAUUUUGGACUUUCAGUGUUCAUCCAAGAAGGUAGUAUCUUUUUAUCAAUUCUCAUACUUUCUCAGUCAAUUUGUUUUGAUUAUGAUAGUCUCACUAGAAAUAGAAAAUUUUGUUUUCUUAAAAUGAUCCAAUCCAGGAUAGAUUGGAAGAGUUUACAAUUAGAUUUUGCAUUCUUUUGCCCCUAACUCUCUGUUGAUGUGAGCUGAAAUUAUUCUCCAGGAUUUGGUUAAAACUUCAAAAUACUCGACUUACAGAUUUAUACAUCAGCUGGAUUGCAUCCUCUGGUUGGAAAAUCUGCUGUUUGAUAGACCUAGCAUGUCUUAGACCUUGCUAAUAAGAGCUGAGAAGUGAGAACCUCAAUACAUUUCACAGUCUCUGUAGCACGGUUCAGUAAUCCAAAUGGUCUUCGAAGAUCUUGGUUCGAAGCGACUUUCAAUAUUAGAUAGUUGUUGCUUUUAAGCUUGCAACAUUAUAUGGCCUCUACUCUGUCGCGAAAUUAAAGCAAGAACAUUUCUGCAUUUUUACUGAUAGUGUGUUUUAUUUUGUACCUUCCAUUGUCAUUUACCUCUCUUAUACUUGCAACUUGCUGGCUUAUUCUGGGUAAUUUAUCCCUUUGGAUGCAUUUAUUCUCCUCAAUAAUCCACCAAGCUAAGUGCCUUGAGACUGCAUACUGGAGUGGACAAUUUGAAGAUCUUCCCUUUGUAUUCUACUGGUAUUAGAUACCUUUUAAUCUCCUCGCGAAAAUAAAUAUGAUACUCUGGAGAUGAAUAAAGUUGACUUCCUAUUGUAGUUCAAAAUUGCCUUCAUUUAAGUAAAGUUGUUCUCUGUCUUAAUUUGGGUGUACCUUUCCUCACAACAUAUGAUUGCACGUGUAUUUUAGGCUUGUAGCCAUGAGAAGAAUGUGUAAUGUUGCCUAUUGUAUUAUUUCCAGGAAAGGUAUAUCGUGAUAUUGUUGGAAGUGCAUACUAUGUUGCUCCUGAAGUAUUACGUCGCAGAUAUGGAAAGGAAAUAGACAUUUGGAGUGCAGGAAUCAUGCUGUAUAUCUUGCUUAGUGGUGUACCUCCAUUUUGGGCAGAAACGGAGAAGGGCAUAUUUGAUGCCAUUUUACAAGGAGAUAUUGACUUUGACAGUCAACCAUGGCCAUCAAUAUCAAGUGGUGCUAAGGACCUGGUCAGAAGAAUGCUGACACAGGACCCAAAAAAAAGAAUUACUUCUGCUCAAGUUCUUGAGCAUCCAUGGCUCAAGGAAGGUGGAGAAGCCUCAGAUAAGCCAAUUGAUAGUGCAGUCCUUUCAAGGAUGAAGCAAUUUAGA
rnacentral:misc_RNA from 1 species